AAGUCGUAACAAGGUUUCCGUAGGUGAACCUGCGGAAGGAUCAUUAACACGUAUCCAACGUUAAAACAACCCUGUGAACCUUUAUACGAAUUCUCCUGAACCAUGACAGCAGCAAUCCCUGGUAAAUCAUUGUUGAACAGAUUUUGAGUCAGGGACCUCUGCCGAUGAGAAAUACAGUCGGGAUCGAGUUCUUGUAGCAAGUGGCCUGGCAUCUCCAAGCAAUCAGUGUCUGAAAGUGUCAUUGGUUGUGCAAGGAUAGCGCUUCACGAUUCCUGUAGACCGUACACUCGGGCAGGAGCUAUGCCAAAGGGUCCCCAUGCCCCCUAAUAACCCCACAGUUUAAUGUAAAGCUCAAUGUAAUACAUUGGGUAAAAAAACCGAACAACUGUUAACAAUGGAUAUCUUGGUUCUC
rnacentral:misc_RNA from 1 species